rnacentral:rRNA from 1 species
GGAACUGCCGGUCAUAAACCGGAGGAAGGUGGGAUGACGUCAAGUCAGCAUGGCCUUUAUAUCCUGGGCUACACACACGCUACAAUGGGAAGGGACAAUAGGUUGCGAAGCCGCGAGGCGGAGCCAAUCCAGCAAAACUUCCCUCAGUUCAGAUUGCAGGCUGCAACCCGCCUGCAUGAAGUUGGAGUUGCUAGUAAACGCAGGUCAGCCAUACUGCGUUGAAUACGUUCCCGGGGCUU